rnacentral:lncRNA from 1 species
ACAUCAUAUAUGUUAUUAAUUAUAUAAAUAGGAUAUUAUUUGUAUAGUAGGCGGAAAUAUAGGCAAAUUCUACUCGCUGAUAACUUGUUAAGACCUGAGUAAGUUAAAACCAGAUGACACAAACGUCAAAUGCUGAUUACAUAUCUAUUCCAUAUAUAUGUAUAUAUUUAAAUUAGUCAUAACUAUAUAUAAGAUCCAAUAAAUUAAGGUAAUAGUCAAUAGUGUCACAAUACCACACUGACAGUGACUCGUAUAAUGAAUUUGUACACCUUAUGAGGUUUAAUCCUUCGGAGCUUUUAACUUAUAAAUCAAUGACAUGAGAACACAAGAUUACAAAAGCAAUGGCAAUAUAAUACAUAUAUCUUCUUUUAGAUUGAUUGCCUACAUUCAUCCUUUAACAACUCGAACCAGUGUAUCAAUUAGUUACAGAAACCUUCUCCAAAUUAAGGAGAUGGUUUCAACCUUUUCCAGUUAUUUUCUUUAUUUUCUUGACUCAAGCAUGCAAAGAGCUUAAAGGUAGGUCGGCCUUAUAUCAGUAUGCCCAAAUCGGGCUUGAUCUGGUACCAAAGUU